rnacentral:rRNA from 1 species
CGACCGGCGCACGAGUGAGUAACACGUAUGGAACCUGCCCGCAGCAGGGGGAUAAGCGGAAGAAAUUCCGUCUAAUACCGCGUAACAACGUUGGGAGGCAUCUCCCGAUGUUUAAAGAUUUAUCGGCUGCGGAUGGCCAUGCGGCGCAUUAGCUAGUCGGCGGGGUAACGGCCCACCGAGGCGACGAUGCGUAGGGGUUCUGAGAGGAAGGUCCCCCACACUGGUACUGAGACGCGGACCAGACUCCUACGGAAGGCAGCAG